rnacentral:rRNA from 1 species
UACAGAGGGGGCAAGCGUUGUUCGGAAUUACUGGGCGUAAAGGGUUCGUAGGCGGCCUUGUAAGUGGGGUGUGAAAUCCCUCGGCUCAACCGAGGAAUAGCGCUCCAAACUGCAAGGCUUGAGGGAGACAGGGGUAAGCGGAACUGAUGGUGGAGCGGUGAAAUGCGUUGAUAUCAUCAGGAACACCGGUGGCGAAAGCGGCUUACUGGGUCUCUUCUGACGCUGAGGAACGAAAGCUAGGGUAGCGAACGGG